UCCCGGUCCACGCCUAUCCGUUUGGAGAAAUUCUUAUGAGAACGCAGAAACGCUUCAAGUUCCUAAUAGAUGAUGUUUUUUUUUGCAAGGUGCUCAAUGUCUCUCCGUGUUUUGUCUUUAGGUCAGUGACAGUCUUUAUGUCCAAGACUCGGGUUACAAAAGUUAAAGCCGUGGCAUAAUGUCUUAGUUUUGUGUGCAGCCCACUGUAUCGUAACCAGCCACGACAAAAAGAUAAGUAUUGUUCUAGCUCUGCUCCUACACUGAAGCAUAUGGUGCGCACCAGGGCACUGUUGAAGACGAGUGAGGAACAGUGAUGACAAGAUGGCUGACUGUUGAUUCCGGCUAAGUAAAUGAAGAAGCAGAAUUAGAGAUAGCUUAGAACCGCCUGAGUUGUAGAAGGGAUCAUUGCCAGUGUGGUGAGCAGAAUCCAACAUUACUACUGGACUAAAUGUGCACUGUUCUGAAUAGUCAAUUUACAAAGUACAUUUGAUACAAACACUUCAA
rnacentral:sRNA from 1 species